rnacentral:rRNA from 1 species
AACGUAGGACGCAAGCGUUAUCCGGAGUUACUGGGCGUAAAGCGCGGGCAGGCGGCUCGAAACGUCUGAUGUGAAAUCUCCUCGCUCAACGGGGAGAGGCCAUUGGAAACGGUCGGGCUGGAGGGCAGUAGAGGCAGGCGGAAUUCCGGGUGGAGUGGUGAAAUGCGUAGAGAUCCGGAGGAACACCAGAGGCGAAGGCGGCCUGCUGGGCUGCACCUGACGCUGAAACGCGAAAGCCAGGGGAGCGAACGGG